rnacentral:rRNA from 1 species
AUUGAACGCUGGCGGCAGGCCUAACACAUGCAAGUCGAGCGGAUGAGAGGAGCUUGCUCCUUGAUUUAGCGGCGGACGGGUGAGUAAUGCCUAGGAAUCUGCCUGGUAGUGGGGGAUAACGUUCCGAAAGGAACGCUAAUUCCGCAUACGUCCUACGGGAGAAAGCAGGGGACCUUCGGGCCUUGCGCUAUCAGAUGAGCCUAGGUCGGAUUAGCUAGUUGGUGAGGUAAUGGCUCACCAAGGCGACGAUCCGUAACUGGUCUGAGUGGAUGAUCAGUCACACUGGAGCUGAGACACGGUCCAGACUCCUACGGGAGGCAGCAGUGGGGAAUAUUGGACAAUGGGCGAAAGCCUGAUCCAGCCAUGCCGCGUGUGUGAAGAAGGUCUUCGGAUUGUAAAGCACUUUAAGUUGGGAGGAAGGGCAGUAAGCUAAUACCUUGCUGUUUUGACGUUACCGACAGAAUAAGCACCGGCUAACUUCGUG